rnacentral:rRNA from 1 species
AGUGAACGCUGGCGGUAGGCCUAACACAUGCCAGUCGAACGGCAGCACAGUAAGCGCUUGCUCUUACGGGUGGCGAGUGGCGGACGGGUGAGGAAUACAUCGGAAUCUACUUUUUCGUGGGGGAUAACGUAGGGAAACUUACGCUAAUACCGCAUACGACCUACGGGUGAAAGCAGGGGAUCUUCGGACCUUUCGCGUCUGAAUGAGCCGAUGUCGGAUUAGCUAGUUGGCGGGGUAAAGGCCCACCAAGGCGACGAUCCGUAGCUGGUCUGAGAGGAUGAUCAGCCACACUGGAACUGAGACACGGUCCAGACUCCUACGGGAGGCAGCAGUGGGGAAUAUUGGACAAUGGGCGCAAGCCUGAUCCAGCCAUACCGCGUGGGUGAAGAAGGCCUUCGGGUUGUAAAGCCCUUUUGUUGGGAAAGAAAAGCAGCAGGUUAAUACCCCGCUGUUCUGACGGUACCCAAAGAAUAAGCACCGGCUAACUUCGUG